rnacentral:RNase_P_RNA from 1 species
AUGUUUUGAUAAUCGCUGUGCAUGUAUGUGCUCAGAGGAAAGUCCAUGCUCACACAGGCUGCGAUGCUUGUAGUGUUCGUGCUUGAUGAAUUCAUAAAUCAAGGGAAUCGAGUAUUCGAUUAACGGCAGGAUAAGUAGCUAAGUCUUUUUUAAGAUAUGCUAUGAUAUCCUUGAAAGUGCCACAGUGACGUAGUCAGACUGGAAACAGUUUGAGUGGAACGAGGUAAACCCCACGAGUGAGCAACCCAAAUUUUGGUAGGGGCAUCUUGUAGUAGGGAAACGAACCGAAACAAGGACAAGUAACAAGAUUACUUGUAGAUAGAUGGUUAUCACCAAGGUACAAGGCUGACCACCGUUUGUAGUACUUUGGGACAGAACAUGGCUUAUAAAA